ensembl:lncRNA
GGAUGAGGCACUGCUCAAGAGGACUGCUCACCUGUACGUGGGUUUCAUGGCUGUGACCCGGUGGGAGGCAUGGACAUGAGAGCAGCAGAUUGGAGAGCCAAAGGAAUCAGCAGCAAUUCAGAGCUCUUGCAGAGGAGGGGAGAGCUGAGCCCACUGUGGAAGGGGAGGCAGAAGGAAAAGAGGAGGAAGGGAAAGGUAAAGGGAGAGGAAAAGUGAGAGGAGAAAAGGGAGGGAAAAAGGGAAGAGAAAAGGAAAGGGAAAGGGUGAAGGAAAGGGAAAAGGAAAGGGAGAGGGAAAAGAAAAUGGGGAGGGAAAGGGAGAGGGAAAAAAAGGAAAAGGAAAAGGAGAAGAGAAAGGAAAAGGAGAAGAGAAAAAGGGGGGAAGGUGGGGGGGAGGGGGGGGAAGAAGAGGAAAAGGGAAAGGAUGCAGCUGCACUGUCUGUAUUUCUCUCCUCAGUGAAGCUCCUGUAAACCGGAGUCUGGACUCCAGAAGGAAAGAGCUGGUGAUGACACAGGCGCUUAUCACAACAUUCUGAUAAGAGAGGAAGAACUGUAACUUCGACACAAGAAGACAGUCGUUGUAUUGCCUCGUUGGGAAAGCGAAGCGAGCAGCCCUUCGGACAGGUGCACCUCCAGCAGCACACGCACCACUCAGGCACCGGGACUCGCAGGCAAGUUGCAGCCGUGCCCCGGGUGGGAGCACCGGGAAGGGGGGGGGGAAACACCGCGCUCCCAUCCCUCGGGGAAGGGGGGGAGACCCGUCGGCUCCACGGGUGGGUGGAUGGAUGGGCGGGCGGAGGUGGGCACAGUCCCUCCCCGCGGGCCGGGCUGCGCUCCCGGCAGGCAGCGCUGCGCUGUGAACCACGCCGCACCCGGCCGGGCUCGGCCCCCUCCUCCUCCUCCUCCACCACCUCCUCCUCGUCGUCGUCUUCUUCUUCCUCCCGCCGCAACCCUCCGGCACGGAGUUGCCGCUGCAGCCUCUCGCAUGGAUCCCGGCAGCGGCACGCCGCGGGGCAGCUGAGCCGCACGUUGUAUGGUGGAAUCAGCUGCACUACAAGAAAGGCAUUGAGGUGCUGGAACGUGUCCAGAGAAGGGCGAUGAAGCUGUGAAGGAUUUGGAGCACAAGUCUCAGGGGGAGCGGCUGAGGGAACUGGGAUUUUCAGUCUUUAGAAGAGAAGGCUCAGGGGAGACCUUAAUACUCUCUACAGUGCCCUCAGAGGAAGCUGUGGUGAGGUGGGGGUUGGCCUCUUCUCCCAGGUAACAGAGAUAGGACAAGAGGGGAUGGCCUUAAGUUGCAUCAGGGGAGGCUCAGGUUGAGUGCUAGGAAAGAUUUCUUCUCCAAAAGAGUGACCAGAUACCUGCUCAGGCUGCCCAGAGAGGUGGUGGAGUCACCUACUGUCCAUGGAGGUGUUUGAGGAACGUGUAGAUGUGGCAUCGAGGGCCAUGGUGAGUGGGCAUGGUGGGGAUGGGCUGAUGGUAGGACUGGGUGAUCUCAGUGGUCUUUUCCAACGUUAAUGAUUCUGUGAUUCUGUGUAGGGAUAAUCACAGUUAGGCCAGCACAUGACUAGGACUAAAAGACAAGUUCAGCGUUCUUUAAGUUACUAAGUGAAUUCAUAGGAGUGGUAAGAUAAAUUAAUACAAGUUGUAAAUUACAGAAAUGAGUAGAGGAGUAGAUGUGGCUUAUUUGCCUCUGGGUUCUAAUUUCUGCACAGCUGACUCUCAAAAUAAACUUGAUGUUUUUAAGUCUUAUUUUUGUGUC